rnacentral:rRNA from 1 species
AACGAACGCUGGCGGCAUGCCUAACACAUGCAAGUCGAACGAGACCUUCGGGCUUAGUGGCGCACGGGUGGGUGACGCGUGGGAACCUGCCCUUAGGUUCGGAAUAACUCCCCGAAAGGGGUGCUAAUACCGGCUAAUGUCUUCGGACCAAAGAUUGAUCGCCUUUGGAUGGGCGCGCGUUGGAUUAGCUAGUUGGUAGGGUAAAAGCCUACCAAGGCGACGAUCCAUAGCUGGUCUGAGAGGCUGGUCAGCCACACUGGGACUGGGACACGGCCGAGAAUACUAGGCGAGGCAGCAGUGGGUAAUAUUGGACAAUGGGCGGAAGCCUGAUGCAGCAAUGACGGGUGAGUGAUGAAGGCCUUAGGGUAGUAAAGCAAGUUUAUACGGGGUGGUAAUGACGGUACCGGGAGAAUAAGCUCCGGCUAACUCCGUG